CGGGACGCCACAUCCGGUCUUUGUUUUUUCACGUCCGUGAUGUCACAUUCGGCCUUUUUGGCGGCAUAAUAUGGCAUAUGGCAGGCUCGGAGUGCACGAAGCGGUGGAUCGCUUAUUUUUCGGGCUUUUGCUUCUCGGACCGCCACACCGGCCAGCCAGUGCUACAGUGUCCUAAUGCAGAGAACGUAUAUUACACGGAACUGCGCUCCUUCAGAGUUAUUUAGAGUCUUUGUCAGAAGCACGUAACAGUAACAUUACUUGGUUACGGUGCUGCUACAUGGCAGAAUAUUUGAAUGGCAGAUGUCCCGAGUGCGGCAUCUCCAGCUUCUUGAGACGGGCACGUGGUAGUGCCACGAGUGGGAGGACGUACCGCAGGCGUGAGGUGGCUACUGCAUGGUACAGCCGCAGAGCCCACCUAGUGGUGCAGCUCUGUCCUCGGGCAACAAGCUGCGAGACUGCCUUGUGGACCCGGAGGACCUGGACAUGCAGGGUCUUGAAGCAGGCAGCCAGGUCAGCCGGUGAUGAACGUGUAGCCCCGGGUACGUCACUGCCAGGCUUCAAGGUCGCCUUCCAGUUGCAGCUGUGCAGCGGGCGAUUGCUCUUGGGUGGAGCAGCAUGGCCUCGGUCUUCCUUGCCGAGAUGGCAAGGCCAAUGCAGCUCAGUCUGCAGGACAGCAGGCAGUCGGGCCAGGUUGAACAGGAAAGGACUCACCACUGAUCCUUGUGGGACGCCCUCUACCAAAUAGGUCCAGGGCCUGCUGAACGACUGGAUAGGGCAGGCCGUCAAAGGCCCCCUUCAUGCCGAUAAGCACCAGGAGCACGGCGUCACCGCAGGCCUUGGCCUCUUCCAGCGUGGAGACCACGUCCACGAUGGAGUCCGCACUGCAUCAGCUCCGCCGGAACCCUAUCUGCUCAUCGGCCAGAAAGCAAUGGCCUCCAUCAGCUUGCAAGCAGCAGAGGCAGCUAGGCAGGCUGACGGAAGGCUGCCCUACCUUCAGGAUGGCUGCAGUGCGUGGUACAGCCGGCGCAAACUGGUUGGCGAGGAGCUCCGCAAGGGCCUCUUCGCUGAUGCUCAGCGUGAUGGCCACACUGAGGACAGGUUGUAGGCUUCCUCUCCUGCUGGUGAGGGAUUUGAGCAGUCUCCAAGCCAGGGGUCCCCUGGACCUGCCCUCGAUGGCAGAGCAGAGGCGUCUGCAGCGGGCAUCUGCACGUCUGUACUCGGUCCAAUGCUCUGCCUUGCCCGUCCGGAUUGCUCCACGCUCCAUACGGCGCCUGGAGGCACGAAUGUUGAGCAGGUGGAGGUCCGGAGCGGGGGUAUCUGGUUGGGUAGAGCACUGAACGUUGGCAGCCUGAGCACAAUCCACGAUGGUGCUCAGGAAGUCAUGGCCAUCGUCCAACUUGCUGCAGUGCUUCCGGAACAGGGACCAGUCUGUGACGUAAGUUCUUGACCUAGGCCUUCUCCCAGACCUGGGGCUGAUCACAAUAGGGAAGUGGUCAGACCCCCAUUUGUCCGAAGUUGUGGCCCAGGAGUAGGAGCACUGCUCAGUGUUGAGGGAGAGGUCAAUGGCCGUGCGAGCUCUGCGGUAGACGUAGGUGGGCUCCCUGGUUUUCCAAGGUCAGCAGGCCAGCUCACCUGAUGGCAUCUGUGAGGCCUUUGCCUCAGCGGGUGCAGCUGCGGCUUCCCCAAUCCGUGUGGUGUGCGUUGAAGUCACUGCACAGGACUGCAUGCCCACCAAGGCGAACAGCCAGCUGGAUGAGGCUGGAGGGAUUCCACGGCUUUCCUGGACGGAUGCAGAUGCUCGCCACAGCCGUGUCCUGGCUGCCAAGGCGUACCACAACGGCGCAUGACUCCAAGGGGCCACCGGCGAUGUCAGCAACAGGUAGAACAGCACGCGCCAGGGUGCUGCGGACAUAGAUUGCCGUGCGUGGCUUUCCUGGCUUAUGGGCUCAAUCUAGGCAGGGUGCCGCAGUGCAACUGCGUGUGGCACAGGUGGUGGCACCCGAGUAGUCGGGAAGCCGUAGGUUCUCGGCCACGGCAUACGUCUCCAGCAGUGCGAGUACCGUAUAGUGCGGAAUAUAGGUUGAGGUUUUUUCCCCAAAAUAUUACUAAGGCUACGUUCACACUUGGGAAACCGCAAGCGGACGGAAAAGCCAAAGCGGCCGGAUAAUCUUUUUCGCGCAUGUACAAAACGUUCACAUUUGUUUCGCCACUGCAGCGGAAACCACGUCCGCUUUCGCCCACAUUUAUCUAGUUUGCGUACGUUUGUCCGCCUGGUGGCACUGUUCAUCACACUAUUUCAAGACAUACGUUCAUUCAUUGACCCAUCAGUUACUAAAAACUACCAUUUCACGCAACUGCACGUGUCGUUUUUAACUUUCGUCUACCAUGGAAGAUAAAGAAGACAUAGUUUCGAUAGCUUUAGCUAGUUGCUUUUCCUAGAAAUAGACCAUGAGCAACGGAAAACGUUAAAUUUUACGACCGGAUGUUUACAUGC